GGAGCCGGCCAGGCGACCGCGGCGGGCCUCGGCCCGUCGAGGAAAGUCCGGACUCCGCAGGGCAGGGCGCUGGGUAACGCCCAGGCGCGGCGACGCGCGGACAGUGCCACAGAGAGCAGACCGCCAGGGGCCCGCGGUGCGGGCACCGGUGAGGGUGAAAGGGUGCGGUAAGAGCGCACCGGCGCCGGCGGCGACGCCGGCGGACAGGCAAACCCCGCCCGGAGCAAGGCCAAGCAGGUGCGUCGAGGUGGCCCGCCGAGCACCGGGUAGGCCGCUCGAGGCCGGCGGUGACGCCGGUCCCAGAUAGAUGGUCGCCCCCGCCCCGACCGGGGUGGCGGACAGAAUCCGGCUUAUCGGCCGGCUCCUCGC
rnacentral:RNase_P_RNA from 1 species